rnacentral:rRNA from 1 species
GGAAUAUUGGUCAAUGGGCGAGAGCCUGAACCAGCCAAGUAGCGUGCAGGAUGACGGCCCUAUGGGUUGUAAACUGCUUUUAUGCGGGGAUAAAGUGCACCACGUGUGGUGUUUUGUAGGUACCGCAUGAAUAAGGACCGGCUAAUUCCGUGCCAGCAGCCGCGGUAAUACGGAAGGUCCGGGCGUUAUCCGGAUUUAUUGGGUUUAAAGGGAGCGCAGGCUGAUUAUUAAGCGUGACGUGAAAUGUAGCCGCUCAACGGCUGAACUGCGUCGCGAACUGGUAGUCUUGAGUGAGUUCGAUGUUGGCGGAAUUCGUGGUGUAGCGGUGAAAUGCUUAGAUAUCACGAAGAACUCCGAUUGCGAAGGCAGCCAACAAGGCCUUUACUGACGCUAAAGCUCGAAGGUGCGGGUAUCGAACA